rnacentral:snRNA from 1 species
AUCCCUUCUUGGCCUUUUGGCUAAGAUCAAGUGUAGUAUCUAUAGUGUUUCUAUAUACAAAGAGUGUAUCUCUUUGUAUAACUUCCUCACUAGUUGCAUUAGUUAUUACAUUAUAUAUACACAACUUAUGUAAU